rnacentral:rRNA from 1 species
GCACAAGCGGUGGAUGAUGUGGAUUAAUUCGAUGCAACGCGAAAACCUUACCUACCCUUGACAUGUCCGGAAUCCCGAAGAGAUUUGGGUGUGCUCGCAAGAGAGCCGGAACACAGGUGCUGCAUGGCUGUCGUCAGCUCGUGUCGUGAGAUGUUGGGUUAAGUCCCGCAAUGAGCGCAACCCUUGUCAUUAGUUGCCAUCAUUUGGUUGGGCACUCUAAUGAGACUGCCGGUGACAAACCGGAGGAAGGUGGGGAUGACGUCAAGUCCUCAUGGCCCAUAUGGGUAGGGCUUCACACGUCAUACAAUGGCCGGUACAAAGGGCAGCGACACAGCGAUGUGAAGCGAAUCCCGAAAAGCCGGUCUCAGUCCGGAUUGGAGUCUGCAACUCGACUCCAUGAAGUUGGAAUCGCUAGUAAUCGCGGAUCAGCACGCCGCGGUGAAUACGUUCCCGGGCCUU